GACGAACGCUGGCGGCGUGCUUAACACAUGCAAGUCGAACGGUAAGGCCCUUCGGGGUACACGAGUGGCGAACGGGUGUGUAACACGUGGGUGAUCUGCCCUGCACUUCGGGAUAAGCCUGGGAAACUGGGUCUAAUACCGGAUAGGACCACUGCCUGCAUGGGUGGUGGUGGAAAGCUUUUGCGGUGUGGGAUGGGCCCGCGGCCUAUCAGCUUGUUGGUGGGGUGAUGGCCUACCAAGGCGACGACGGGUAGCCGGCCGGAGAGGGUGACCGGCCGCACUGGGACUGGGAUACGGCCCAGACUCCUACGGGAGGCAGCAGUGGGGAAUAUUGCACAAUGGGCGCAAGCCUGAUGCAGCGACGCCGCGUGAGGGAUGACGGCCUUCGGGUUGUAAACCUCUUUCAGCACCGACGAAGCGCAAGUGACGGUAGGUGCAGAAGAAGGACCGGCCAACUACGUGCCAGCCGCCGCCGUAA
rnacentral:rRNA from 1 species